CAUAUACAUUUAGCAAAUAGACGAAUACAGGUUAAAUAUAAUACAAGUCCCAGGGCAGCUCAUGGCCAUCCGCUACAGCCAUCAAUGGUGAAACCCUAAACAUCAACGAUCUUAUGGGUUCAUAUCAUGUUGAAGCCAUAACUAGACGACAGACUAGAGAUAAUGCCGACUUAAAUGUCGCGCAAUGGAGUCAAGAAGCUCCUAGUGA